UACGAAGGGGGCUAGCGUUGUUCGGAACCACUGGGCGUAAAGGGCGCGUAGGCGGCCGAUCAAGUCGGGGGUGAAAGCCUGUGGCUCAACCACAGAAUUGCCUUCGAUACUGUUUGGCUUGAGACCGGAAGAGGUAAGUGGAACUGCGAGUGUAGAGGUGAAAUUCGUAGAUAUUCGCAAGAACACCAGUGGCGAAGGCGGCUUACUGGUCCGGUUCUGACGCUGAGGCGCGAAAGCGUGGGGAGCAAACAGG
rnacentral:rRNA from 1 species